UACGGAGGGUGCAAGCGUUGUCCGGAUUUAUUGGGUUUAAAGGGUGCGUAGGCGGUUUUAUAAGUCAGUGGUGAAAGACGGCAGCUUAACUGUCGCAGUGCCAUUGAUACUGUAGAACUUGAGUAUAGUUGAGGUAGGCGGAAUUUAUGGUGUAGCGGUGAAAUGCAUAGAUACCAUAAGGAACCCCGAUAGCGUAGGCAGCUUACUAAACUAUAACUGACGCUGAGGCACGAAAGCAUGGGUAGCGAACAGG
rnacentral:misc_RNA from 1 species